rnacentral:rRNA from 1 species
UACGGGGGGGGCAAGCGUUGUUCGGAAUUACUGGGCGUAAAGGGCUCGUAGGCGGCCAACUAAGUCAGACGUGAAAUCCCUCGGCUUAACCGGGGAACUGCGUCUGAUACUGGAUGGCUUGAGUUUGGGAGAGGGAUGCGGAAUUCCAGGUGUAGCGGUGAAAUGCGUAGAUAUCUGGAGGAACACCGGUGGCGAAGGCGGCUUGCUGGGCCUUACCUGACGCUGAGGAGCGAAAGCGUGGGGAGCGAACAGG